GGGGGAAAACUACCUACUUGAGCGAAGAAAAGCUAUCAUUAAGGAAAGAAGAAAUUCCCACUGGAUUUCAAACCAGCAAACUUUUGCAUGCUAACCAAAGAUCUUAACUGCUCUGUUAUUCCUGCAUCAUUGGUAAAUGAAGAUUGAACUUCAUAACAGAUUGAAACUCAUCAAGCUGAAUGCAACUAUGUCUAAGCCAUCUGUCACAGAUGUAUUAAAUGUCUUAUCUUGAUGCCUCCUGAAACUGCCAAGAAGGAGUUGGAAAUUGAAAUAUCUGGUGAAUGUCAAUGUAUUAACUGAACAGUGUUUGGCUAGAUGAGCCUACAAAGAAAAGGGUAUCUUAUAUGAAACAGGAUUAAAUUUGGAGUUGAGAUAAGAGCCGCUGAAUGAUUAGUAUUUCUCUGUUAAAUAAAACUUCCCUCAAGUCAA